GGCCUCGUAGCUCAGCUGGUAGAGCAUGCGCUGUACAGAAGCGUAGGCGGCGUCCACUCGUGGGUUCGAAUCCUACUGAGACUG
rfam:Echinostoma caproni strain Egypt genome assembly, scaffold: ECPE_scaffold0007522